rnacentral:misc_RNA from 1 species
AGCAGGACUCACCACAGCCAUGAUUUCAAUAAUUAAACACUGUCAAAGACUCGAAACACUAUUAUUUUCACUCUGCCAGACACUCUCCAGUAUUCAAAGACUCGAAAUAAUCAACUCAUCUUUCACAUCAACCUCAACUUCUCCCCUCUCCAAAGCUUCCUCUUUCUUCCUCAAAAUGGUUUCUUGAAUCAAAACCCUAAAUUUCAAGAAAAGUAUAGAGAGAGAGAGAGAGAGA